rnacentral:tRNA from 1 species
GGGCGUAGUUCAAUGGUAGAACACUAGCCUUCCAAGCUGGAUACGAGGGUUCGAUUCCCUUCGCCC